CGGGCGCAGCAGGCGCGAAACCUCUGCAAUAGGCGAAAGCUUGACAGGGUUAUUCUGAGUGACUUYCGCUAAGGAAGUCUUUUGGCACCUCUAAAAAUGGUGCAGAAUAAGGGGUGGGCAAGUCUGGUGUCAGCCGCCGCGGUAAUACCAGCACCCCGAGUGGUCGGGACGAUUAUUGGGCCUAAAGCAUCCGUAGCCGGUUUUACAAGUCCUCCGUUAAAUCCACCUGCUUAACAGAUGGGCUGCGGAGGAUACUAUAAAACUAGGAGGCGGGAGAGGCAAGCGGUACUCAGUGGGUAGGGGUAAAAUCCGUUGAUCCAUUGAAGACCACCAGUGGCGAAGGCGGCUUGCCAGAACGCGCUCGACGGUGAGGGAUGAAAGCUGGGGGAGCAAACCGGAUUAGAUACCCGGGUAGUCCCAGCUGUAAACGAUGCAGACUCGGUGAUGGAYUAGCUUCAUGCYWAUCCAGUGCCGCAGGGAAGCCGUUAAGUCUGCCGCCUGGGUAGUACGGUCGCAAGACUGAAACUUAAAGGAAUUUGGGCGGGGGAG
rnacentral:rRNA from 1 species